UGGGGAAUAUUGCACAAUGGGCGCAAGCCUGAUGCAGCAACGCCGCGUGAACGAUGAAGGUCUUCGGAUCGUAAAGUUCUGUUGCAGGGGAAGAUAAUGACGGUACCCUGUGAGGAAGCCCCGGCUAACUACGUGCCAGCAGCCGCGGUAAUACGUAGGGGGCUAGCGUUAUCCGGAUUUACUGGGCGUAAAGGGUGCGUAGGUGGUCUUUCAAGUCGGUGGUUAAAGGCGACGGCUCAACCGUAGUUAGCCUCCGAAACUGUAAGACUUGAGUGCAGGAGAGGAAAGUGGAAUGCCCAGUGUAGCGGUGAAAUGCGUAGAUAUUGGGAGGAACACCAGUAGCGAAGGCGGCUUUCUGGACUGCAACUGACACUUAGGCACGAAAGCGUGGGUAGCAAACAGG
rnacentral:rRNA from 1 species